ACGACCUUAGUUGAACAGAAUCUGUUCUAUAGGCUCGUACCUCUGUGUCCUUGAGUUCUAAGGAGACAGGAUUCCUUGUCUGGUUGAUGAAUGGACGCUGUGUGAUCAGAGCGUGACUAUUGGCCUGGUGUUUCUAGAUGAUGAGCUCACCUUGACCGCCGAUGAUCGUUCUCAGCUAGCUUUGACUAGCUGAGGUGGUCGUGCAGCUGUCUGACAGACU